UAACAAUUUCUUGAACGCGUUUAAAGCCAGGCAAAUGCAAGUGCAUGUCAAUUGAGUUAAUUUUCAGAAAAUUGUGGUUUUGUUGGUGACAUAAAACAAAAGCCAAACAGACAAACAAAAUAUACAUAUUACGUCUUUGUAAGGCUAACUUACCUCAAGGUGCAUCAUCCACUUUGAUAUUGCGUGCAAAAAGAAAGAAAUAAAUAUGAAGCACUUCUACUCUGGUCCCAUUCAGAACAAAGGAUGCUCUUUUAUUUAUGUAAUCCCCUAAGAAGAAUUCCC